UCUGAUUAGCGGCCUGGGAUUAAACGCUGGUGGAUGCUUCAUACAUGCAAGUCGAAUGCGGCACGGACUUCGGUCUGGUGGCGAGUGGCGAACGGGUGAGUAAUGUAUCGGAACGUGCCUAGUAGCGGGGAUAACUACGCGAAAGCGUAGCUAAUAUCGCAUGGCCAGACCCUUCGGUGUAGUGCGGGGACCUUCGGGCUCAAAAUUAUUAGAGCGUGCCGAUAUCGGAUUAGCUAGUUGUGUGCAACGGCUCACCAAGGGACAUCCGUAGCUGGUUUGAGAGGACGACCAGCCACACUGGGACUUGUGACACGGGCCUUAGACUCUACGGGAGGCAGCAGUGGGGAAUGGAUAACGGGGAAACCCUGAUCCAGCCAUCCCGCGUGUGCGAUGAAGUGCCUUCGGGACAAAAAGCACUUUUGGCAGGAAGAAACGGCAUCGAUAAUACCUCGCGCAACUGACGGUACCUGCAGAAUAAGCACCGGCUAACCACGCCAGCAGCCGCGGUACGUAGGGUGCAAGCGUUAACGAAUCACGGGGCGUGGGAAGCGCAGGCGGUUCGGAAAGCAGCAUGUGAACCUGGAGUUUUAACUUUGGAACUGCAUUUUUAACUACCGAGCUGGAAGUGUGUCAGGAGGGAGGGAAUUCCGGGCGUAGCAGCGCGGAAUGCGUAGAUAUGCGGAGGAACACCGAUGGCGAAGGCGCCUCCUGAUACACUGACGCUCGCACGAAAGCGUGGGGAGCAAACAGAUUAGAUACCCCGGUAGUCCACGCCCUAAACGAUGUCAACUAUUGCUGGGGCCUUCUGCCUCGCAGCGCAGCUAAUUGCGUGAAGUUGACCGCCUGGGGACAUGGUCGCAAGAUUAAAAACUCAAAGGAAUUGACGGGGACCCGCACAAGCGGACAUGAUUUAAUUCGAUGCAACGCGAAAACCUUACCUACCCUUGACAUGUGCCCGGAAUCCCGAAGAGAUUUGCUGUCGCAGAGAACCGAACAACAGGUGCUGCAUGGCUGUCGUCAGCUCGUGUCGUGAUGUUGGGUUAUCCGCAACCGAGCGCAACCUUGUCAUUAGUUGCUACGAAAGGGCACUCUAAUGAGAUCGUCGGUGACAAACCGAGGAAGGUGGGGAUGAUGCCAAGUCCUCAUGGCCCUUGAGGUAGGCUUACACGUCAUACAAUGGUCGGGACAGAGGGUCGCCAACCCGCGAGGGGGAGCCAAUCCCAGAAACCCGAUCGUAGUCCGGAUCGCAGUCUGCAACCUGACUGCGUGAAGUCGGAAUCGCUAGUAAUCGCGGAUCAGCAUGUCGGCAGGAAUACGUUCCCGGGUCUUGUACACACCGCCCGUCACACCAUGGAGUGGGUUUUACCAGAAGUAGUUACCUAACCGUAAGAGGAAGAUUACUACUGGGGAGAUCAUGACUGGGGUGAAGUCGUAACAAGG
rnacentral:rRNA from 1 species